GACUGUGUGCGAGAACAUUUUGAAUUAUCUGGCACGAGGCAUCACACGUCAAACUUCAACUGACACAACGGUCUCGGUGAAGGGAAUAAGCAAAAGCUCCUUUAAAUUUCGUCAUUUUUUAUACACAUCCCGUUUAUUUUGUAGUUAAUUGUUAGAUAAGUAAGUAAUUUCGUCAAUUUUUCGUUACAGAGUAAGAUUUCGUUAUCAUCGUUACCAUAUACAGUAUUUAUAUUGGUUCAAGAGCGCAGUUUGAUAACUCAUUCAAGGUUUGUAGCCAUAUUUAAGUUACUCGCUUACUUUGUUUAAGUGUUAGAGUAAAUGUAUAUGGUUUUAAAGUAGUAUUAAUAUAAGUAACUGCGCCUCAAUCCGAAGGCUAACCACUGGAAGUAGCAUUUGUAGGCUGUAUACCUUUUACGUCAUCAAGACUGUCAUAUUUAAGAAUAUUAACAAUUAUAAAGUUAACUAUUAUUCUCAGUUAAUCGUAAAUUGUUGUAAUAUGCUUAUGACUUGCGAAUGUAAUGUUUAUUUAACUGAAAUAAACCAGGCUUGAUGACGUAUGCAGCCUGCAUAUUCGACCUCCGGAGGAUGUAGCCUUCCGUUUGAGAAACGGCCUACAAGUUGAGCGUGCGCGAGAUUCUGCCGAAUUGAUUCUUCAAUAAUGGCAAAGCAAAAAGUAACUGUCGUGAUGAUAACCCACAUUUUAAGGUUUAAAUUAAAACUCCUACCUUACCUUUCCAGGGGGUUCUGUUCCUGCAGUCUUCCAGCAAUACUGGCGCGUAUGACGAUGCGGACACGAACUGCACACCUUUAAACAUCUAAACAUGUCCUCCAAAAAGGUUUCCUGUGCUGUUUUGCUCCAUUUUACAGAACAAAAUAAGGCUGAGGUAGCACCAUCCUUGUGGUUAGAGUGAAAGAAUGUGGUAAGAUUUGGUUAAUGUUUUAUAAAAUACAAAUGAUAAACAUGAAGGUCAGCUACAUAUAAAAAAUAAUCAAACAUGCUUAUUUCCAUCUGAAUGGUAUUGAGACCAAAAUAAAUAAUGUGCCAUUCUGGACAAACAGCUGUGGACAAUAUAAGCAGUCAGAGUAGCCCAUUUUCUCACACAGAUGAGGAGCAACCAGUAAGAAAAAGCAAAAAGAUGUUUUGAUGUUGCCUGAGGCACCUUAUUCACAUCAGUCAAUUUCUUCCAAUAAUGAAUCAAGAAAUCCUGGAGUGGAGAAUCAUUCUGAAAGUAGACCAAAUACAGGACAACACCACAGCAGUGGUUGGAAAAAUGCAGCAGACAAUGAGCAAACCAAGCUGACUUUCAAAAGAUGAUUCGUUAUCUGUUUCUUCAAAGGGGAGGCAGUUUGGGAGAUGGGAAAUAGGAGGAUGCUACAGCUACACAGGGUGAAUUUCAGCAGCUCAGUUUCACACUUGCA